rnacentral:misc_RNA from 1 species
AAAAAAAAAAAAAAAAAAAUCUCCAAGUAAGGGCUGAGGGAGGGGGCAAGGGGGAGCCUUGGCUCCUCCAACCCCUUUAAAAUUUUCUUGUAUGUAUAUAUGUAACUAGGUUAUUUUAUUUUAGUUAUUGGCCCCCAAAAAUAAUUUAUAUUGUUUUAUCAUAAUAUAGGUAAAUUGAAAUAUUAGAACUAUUUAAUUCUCAUCAUAUGUUCAAUAAAUUUUUAUAUCAUUUACACCUUCAAAACAAAUUUUCUAGUUUAAUUAUACUCUAUUGUAGCAUUUUUUGAAUAUACAACAUUAACCCCUCAAAAUAUAUAGACAAUGAGUGUAGUUAACAAUUUUUGAAAUCAAUUUUAUGUAUAACAUUGGCCCCCUAAGAAAAAAAAUUUAUGGCUCUGCCCCUGACUCCAAGCCAAACCUAAAUACAUCCUUCCAUGCUGACCUCAGUACCCAACCAUCACAAACUUUGCUGCCCUUAUGUCUUCUUCCUCUAUAACUCAUCUCAAAUCCUUCCUUCUAAAUCUAUCCAACACCAAUGUUGGGGCUCCUCACAUUUUGUUGUCUUCUUGUGCCCAAUCCGAGAGAGUGUAUCUAGGUGUAAUUGCGACUGUAAGAGGUGCAAGCAGGGAGGUGCAUAUAGGUUUGAACUUUUGGGCUUUGAGGUGGGCAUGGGCAUGACAAGCGAGUGCAGACCAAGUUGUGAGUGUGGGUUGGAUUGCAGGAAUUUGCUUAAAAGAAGAAAGCCUAUAGAAAGUGAUUUCAUUGCUCCAUUUGCACCCCUUCCACUAUGUGCCCUGUUGCCUUGACCCUUUGCUGUUUUAUUGUCAAGCUUCCACCCGUUCAAUUGUUGAUUUGGUUAUCACAAGCCCUCCUCAUCACCUCACCUCCCAGAUUUGGACGGAAUUUCAAUUUCAAUUGAAUGUAGCUAUUGAGUGAUAAUUAGGUUUUAGCUUUUAAUUUGUUGUGGAAAUUUUCAAAUCAAUUUGUGACUUUGUUGAUUCUCUAAAUUGGUUUGUGAAACAACUCUCUAACUUUACUUUUUUUUGUUAGCAUCAAUUUCUCACUCACGUUCAUUUCUUCUUAACAUAACCCUUUAAUUUGAUUGUUUUCAUUGAAUUUGCAAUUUUUUUCCCUUUUUGGGUCACAACAUGAACCGAUUUCCCAUCAUUUUGGCUUCUCUGCAACUGGUGUUGUUUCGACUCUGGCAAGAGAUGAAAUGAUGAAGGAGAAGGAAGAGGA